rnacentral:rRNA from 1 species
AUUGAACGCUGGCGGCAGGCCUAACACAUGCAAGUCGAACGAGUGGCGGACGGGAGACUAAUGACUCGGAAACUGCCUGAUGGAUAGGGAUAACAAACGGACACGGUAGCUAAUACCGCAUACCAUCGCCUAUGCCCAGAUGGGAUUAGCGAGUGGGGGGGGUAAAGGCUCACCUAGGCGACGAUCCCUAGCUGGUCUGAGAGGAUGACCAGCCACACUGGAACUGAGACACGGUCCAGACUCCUACGGGAGGCAGCAGUGGGGAAUAUUGCACAAUGGGCGCAAGCCUGAUGCAGCCAUGCCGCGUGUAUGAAGAAGGCCUUCGGGUUGUAAAGUACUUUCAGCGGGGAGGCGUUACCCGCAGAAGAAGCACCGGCUAACUCCGUGCCAGCCGCCGCGGUAAUUC